rnacentral:rRNA from 1 species
GAUGAACGCUGGCGGCGUGCUUAACACAUGCAAGUCGAACGAUGAUCUCCAGCUUGCUGGGGGGAUUAGUGGCGAACGGGUGAGUAACACGUGAGUAACCUGCCCUUAACUCUGGGAUAAGCCUGGGAAACUGGGUCUAAUACCGGAUAUGACUCCUCAUCGCAUGGUGGGGGGUGGAAAGCUUUUUGUGGUUUUGGAUGGACUCGCGGCCUAUCAGCUUGUUGGUGAGGUAAUGGCUCACCAAGGCGACGACGGGUAGCCGGCCUGAGAGGGUGACCGGCCACACUGGGACUGAGACACGGCCCAGACUCCUACGGGAGGCAGCAGUGGGGAAUAUUGCACAAUGGGCGCAAGCCUGAUGCAGCGACGCCGCGUGAGGGAUGACGGCCUUCGGGUUGUAAACCUCUUUCAGUAGGGAAGAAGCGAAAGUGACGGUACCUG